rnacentral:tRNA from 1 species
CGCUCCUAGAGGAUGACAGCUUAUCCGUUGGUCUUAGGAACCAGAAACUCUUGGUGCAAAUCCAAGUAGCAGCU